rnacentral:lncRNA from 1 species
GCGAAAUAUACACACCCUCAUUUACAGGACAGGACACUGAGGCCCCAGGAGAGACAGUGACUUUGUCCAGAGUGACUCUUCCAGCCACACUGACACCCAGGUUUGGAAGGCUCCCCACCACCCACCUGUGCACCUGAAGAGCUAAGGGGAGAGAGAGAGAGGUCUAAAUGGUGAGUAGGGGGGGGGUCUCCAGAGGAGCCCAGGAGCCAUGAAGGGAAGAGCCUGGCUACUCAUCUCAGCACCAAGGUCUCUGAUGUUGGCUUACUGAAGACUAAAUGUGAUGGUCACACCAUUAAAUAAAAUACGGUAUUACCAUGCAGGAGACAGGGCCACACCUGAGCACCUGUGUGAGGGUAGGAGAUGCAGCAGGUCCAGUUAAGAGGGCUUUCAGGAGGAAGUGGGCUCCCAAAGCUUCCCACAUAUAGCCAAAGGCAAGUGGGAAAAGGAGGUAUUCCAGGCCUGGACCCACCCAGAGAGCAGAGCAAUGGAGAGGAGUCAUUUCUAGAACAUUCUAUUUAAGCCUAUAACACUGAAAAGGAACCCAGUCCUGGGUGGUCACUUCCUGAUCAGCCUGACUUGAGGCCUUCCUCCCUCCCCUUUUACCACCAGAUGCCCAGGAUCCCCUAGAGGCCUGCUGGAUAUGAAGCUUGGGGUGGGCCCGUAUUCUGAGGCCUAGCAAGCUCCCUAGUGGCCCUAAGGAGAAGCCAGGGCUGAGAACCACUGCCCCAGGGGACAUUCUGAGUCUGUGACCUGCUCUCUGGCCAGGACUCUUGGGAACAUUUUCCUUCCCUCUCCAUGAAGGUCACAUGAUCUGUAGUCACUGAACUUUCACUUUAUUUUGGAACUUUCCACAAUUCAAACCUGUAUUGAGUCACAAGAACAACCAAGUCAGGAAGCAAGAAUGAAUUACUGUCCAUCAAACAGCUGGGACACAGCCCCUGUCUGGGGUGCAAUUCCCACUAUCACCACCAGAGGGAACCAGUGCCCUACUCGGAAUCCCCUCCAAUGGCUUUUUUGCAAAACAGUCUUUCCAAGGGUCUUUGCCAGGGAGGAGGGGGCACCCGAAUAGUCUGCCAUGCACCCCGAUUUCCUGGAAAAGCCCUGAGCUCUUUUCAUUUUGUCUGUAUACCCCAUGCCUGCCUCCUGUCUCAGGGACAGUACUUGCCCUGCUGUAUAGUAAUUCUUGGCUGCCGGAUCUUGAGCCCCACUCCUUCCAGAACAGAAGCCAUAUAUGAUCUACACUUUCCCGAAGCCUGGGACAGCCAUGAAACUUCGAACCCCAUAGUUUGAGUCAACAUCUUGAUCAGGACCCUGGUAGGGACACACCAAGAAGGGACCCUUGUGAGGUGGGGGAAGAGGAGGUGGGUUGCCGGGUGCAGCCCCAGCUGUGGAUUCUGAUGGGAUCCUCGGGGCAGCAUGGUUUUCAAACUUUCCCAGGUAACUUCAAUGUGGAGUUGAAAGUCAAGGCCAAUCAAGGUGAAAGCCAAAGUGGGCAGGCUGGGUGGGGGAGGGGAGCUUUCUGUUGAGGGGCACAAAGCUCAGCCUUGCCCCAUCUGUGUCAUCCCAGCUCCCCCAAGAGAGUGCUUCUCAGGACAACAAAGGCCAAAAAAUGCUGGCGUUGGGCAGUGGGACCACAGGGCCUUUGCCUGGCCUGACUUCCUUACAACACUCUCAGCAAAAACUGGACACAAAGUUCUGGGUGGGCAAAGGAUUAGCCCUGUCCCAUGCUCAAACCACAAACUAUGAAUGAAUGAACAUUUUUUGAUCCAAUUCAUAGUAGCUGAAAUUUCCAGAAGUGUUAUUGGCCUUCCAUCUAUUCACUCAGAAGGAUGCCUUUGCUUUUUAAAUUCAUAAAACAUUGAAGUGAUUUAAAAAUAAUCCACAGCCCACUCUCACCCAGCCUCUGUCCAUCCCAUAGACGGGGGGACUCGCAGUGAGAACAAAAAGCCCGCACUGGGAUGACAUCCUUGGCUGGGAGGCCUGGGCAGAGCCUCUCCUUCCUGGACUGGGUUUGCUCAUCAGAGCAGCCAGGCAGAGGCUGGGGCUGGGGCUGGUAUUCUGUCCAGAGUGAGGUGCUACCGGCACGAGCCUCCAACUUUUCUAAAUGGCUUGGGACCUUGAAGGAGACCCUUCCCCUGCCCAGCAAUCUUGAACUCUCCCAGGUCGAGGAAGGGUGCCCCAAAGAACUGGCCUUGAGUAGCUCGCUGGCUACUUUAGUUAAAAGAGAGGGCACCCUGGGCAGUUGGGGGGUGGUACCCACUUAGUGAGGGUUGAAUCUUCCUGAGGUCCACACUCCUCCUUUCUCCUCUUCGCUCCUGGGGAAUGGGGCUGCUACCAGGAGAUGUGUCUCCUCCCUGUCCAUCCUCUGCCCCAGACGGCUGAGCUCUGAACUGCAGUACCGCUGUGGCCUCUUGGGGAGGGUAACCUGCUCCUCCCUGGGGACCCAUUCUUCAGCCACCUGGCCAGGCCAGGGGAGAUCAGAGACAAUUACGGUGUCCACGCGACGCUUCCAUGGCAGCUGGGAAGAUGUCAGACCUGGGCUUCAGAGAUCGGGCCAGGGCAGCCCCAGUCAGGGGCAUUAGGGGGACAGUAGCUGAGCUGGGAGAAACAGGAGCAGCCAAGUGUCCCAGCCCAGGAAGAAGCCCGUGGCUCAGUGUUGGUGUCCCCUCCCAGGCUCUGGCUGCCCAAGGAGCCUCCCAGACCAGCCCCAUUGUGUGUUUGCGGUAGACUUUGAGGGCUUGAAAGAGUUUAGAACUUUGAACCUUAGCAUCCAGGGCUUCCACCUGCCACCAGAAGCCCAAGGAGGCAAGGGGAGGUGGCUCGGGGCGGGUCUCGUGCCUGGAAGGCACUGGGGUGAGUCACCUUCCGAAGUUGCUGCUCCUCAAACCCUGGUUUGCAGUUUCCAGAACUUGCUGGGCUGUCUGCUCUGCUGUGAGUGACAUCCCAUAGUCUCCUCUGCCCCAGGAGGCUUUCUGUCUCUUGUGGAGGCUAUUUGUCUCUAGAUCCCUAAACUUGGUUCUCUUUUUAAAGAAAUUCUCACUGUUCUUCCUCAAAGAGCUCCUGUAGUGUCACCCAAAGGAAUCCCCCAGGUGCGUGCAGCAGGAGGGAGGUAGAGGAGGAGAAGUUCCAAGCUGGGGCAGCAGUUAGUGCUGUGGCUCCCACACAGUCCACACUGUGGAAGGUGAAACUAGUGUCACUAGAAGCUUUGUCCUGGGCCUGCUGUGUGACCUUGGGCAGGUCCUUGUCUGUCUCUGGGCUUGGUUUCAGAAAAAACAAACACAAGACAAAUUUCUAAGCUUCAUCUUGAAAGUCAAGAGGCUGUGACUUCUGAGGGGAAGCAGUGGUGGAGUUGUAGCUAAUCCCCUUGCCCCAGGGUGGCUUUUUCUUAGAGAAAAGGAACAUACCACACAUACCCACAAGUGUACACUUGCUUCUUCCUGUCGCAAGAGCAGAGAGGCUUGGCCAGGGAAGAAGGCCGACAGGACACACCUGGCAAAUUGGAGGUGCCCAGGCCGGCUUAGCAGGCGGCCAGGGGCACGUUGCCUUCUCUGGUCCUGGUUCCCUGCAACGCGGAUCAAUCAGUAACUGAAUGUGAGCCCAGCGCCGCCCGAUGGAACUCAGUGUCCUCUCUCUACAGCAAAUAGUAUUUCAGGUCUUGUGUCUGCAGACCAAAUGGUCUCCACAGGUUCAUAAAGUCAAUCAGGAGAGGCCUGAGCCCCUAGACAGCCUCCCAGGGGCAGGAGUGGGAGGGCCAGGCUGAGGCUGACUGCUCUAGGACCCUUCCUGAAACCCCUCCCCAGCAUCCUGGGGACCUACCAGGGAUCCCCCAUCUCCCUGCUCUGACCAUCCCUUUGUUCCUGAGCCCCACUGCCUACAAGCUACAUGAAGGCUGGGAUUGCAUCUGAUGGUUCACCCAUCAAUCCCCAGGGGGCACAUAGCCUAUGCUCAAUAAAAGCAUGUUGUAUGAACCUGCUAUUGACAGGCUGCAGGAAUGAAUGAAUGAUGGGUGGUUAGCCACUGUACUGGGACCCAGGAGAACUGUUGGGUAGAGUUGGCAGUGGGUGUGUGUGCUUACCUGAGGUGGAGGAUCCUUGAGAUCUGUCCUGGUGACAGCCACCAUUUCAUCUUUUUGGCAACACCGAUGUGACCACAGCCUUGGGAAUCAGCAGACCUGGACCCCAGUCCACUAUACAAUGAUGGGCAAAGGCCCCUUGCCUCAGUUUCCCCAAUGGAGAAAUAAUCUCUAACUUGUGGAGGUUCCUUGCUGGAUGCCAGCCCCCGGUGGGCAGUACAGUUAGGAGCGUUGUCUCUGGGACUCCACGGUGCUGAUUCUCAGUGACACUAGCUUUCCUGGACCCUGCCAAGCACCGAAGCCCCUUCUUCUCAAUGUUUUUAUGUUUGGGGAAAUUCUGUCCAGCACUUUCUUCUCAGGACAUAGUGUUCAGGGAGGGCAAAGAGGUAAGGCCCCUAAGUCCACCUUCAUCUGUCCAGUCGCUGGGGAGAGACUGGUGCAACCACAGGUCCCAGCCCCCCACACUCCUCAGCCCCAUUUAAGCCACCACAUAGACUCAGAGGGUGGGUCAUGGUCCGGCCCACCGUCCCCUCCUGGGCCCCUCCUUGGGUCUGGGCCCCCUCAGUGGAGAACAAGGGACCCAGACUGGAGGAUACUGUGUGUCCCUUCCAGCCGAGGCCUACUAGACACAGACUGGGGCAGGAAGUGAGCCCAGAUUCCAGCCUUGCCGCUGAGACCCAACUUGGGGUGGAGGGCGGGGCUGCGUGGCUGAGAUCCCCACGUGGCCCCCCGCAUGGUGCUGUGCAGCCACCUGCAGCUCCGCCACCCACCCUGGGGCACUAGGGGAGGCUUCAACCAGAUUCCCAGCACAGGGCUGUAGCACAGGGCUGCAGAGACGCACCGGCAGGUCCAAGGUGGCCAGGCACUCUACGGAGAGCAGAGCCACCCCGAGGGACCAGGGAGAGCUGGGGGAGGCUCGCUCCAGCCCCUCCCAAACUGCUCUUCUGGGGAGGAUAGGUGUGACGGGGGUUCUGGGCUACCUGUGGGGGACCUGUCCACCCCACCCUGGAUCUCUGUAUGGAGCCCUUCACCAAACAAGGCAGACUCCCCCUGAUCCUAAUCUUUGGACAAACUCAUAAAAAUCACCUCUCCCAAAUCCAAGGCACUGCCAGAUAGUUCUGGAAGACUUGUUUUCUUCUAGAUCCCACAUUUUCCUCUUUUUAGAUCUCUCGAUGAAACCAACAUGAAGCAGGAACAGUGUAUGGGGGUCGCAGACAGGGUGUGAGGUGCUGCUCUCCAUCCAGCUGGGCAGCACUGGGUCUCUGAGGUUCAGUUUGCUCAUCUGUAAGAUGGGGAUGAUAACAGCCAUCAUUGGGAACUUGACUGAGAUCGAGUGUGUAAAUGAGAUGUGCAAACCAGAAAGUGCUACUUAAAGGUAGAGUGAUUUCAUUGAGAGGUGAAGGCUAGUUUUCCCUGGGUUGGCAUGUUUUUCAGUCAUUCAUUCUACAAAUUUUAAUCGAACAUUUGCAUAUAGAAUAUGUGCCAGCUGUGUUGGGUGUUCCCACAAGAUGAGGUGAAAUUGUUUGUGAAACUACAGACUCAAAAUCCAUAGAGGAGCCUCUAGUGCAAAUGCACGGGGGUCCCAGGGCCCAAGACUAUGUGAAGCUGCUCGCAUCCAAAUACCUGGGAAAUGUAAAAUAUGGGCCCCUAACUCUGCAGCCUGGGAAGGCUGGCUCCCCUCUGCUCUGAGCUCCUGUGUGUGUGCUUGUGUGUGUGCAGUUGGGUUCGAGAGCCGUUGAUCUCGUUCAACCUCAUCAAUGAACAGCAGAAUCUGAGACCCAGAGAGUGUUGUUUGCAGAAGACAGCAUGUCACAGGCCAGGCCUUCUGUGCACCUGUGCCUUUUCUUCUUUCCCCGAAGAGCAAGGACAGCUGCAGUCUUGAGUUCCUCCCCAAGGUCUGGCCUGGAGGGGUGCGUCUCAGCACCAGUCCAGAAUAUGGAAUCAGAGUUGACUGGAGUCCCAGCUCCGUCCUGCAGUGACUGCGUAUUUAGCAAGUCACUUGCUUUCCAAAGCCUCAAUGUCCUCAUUUGUAAAACGGGGUGUGUGGGGGUAGGACGGGGUCCCCCUGACCCAGGGUACUUCUUAGAGGGGCAUAAAGUAUUGUGGUUGAGAAUGAGGGUUCAGCCUUAUCUUUUAGAUUAUGGAUGGAAUUAUAUAAUACAUGGUAUUUUCUUUAAAAAAAAAAUCCAUGGUGAUGAGGGGGGAGGUGAGAAGCCAUAGAUGAAGCCAGACUGGCCAUCUUGCCCGGGUGUCUUCAGGUAUGCAUGCUCGGAAGGCUGUACAACUCCACUUUUACCUCCGUGUUUAGGCUGACACGGCCCAACUUUUCUAAGGAGAAACACUAUAGGCUGUGGUUUUUUUUUUUUUUUUUUCUGUUUCUUCCAAGUCCACCUGGAUUUAAUAUUAGAAGAUAAUCUCCAAGGAGUAGCCCCCUCCUGGCCUAGAGGUUUCUGAUACUCAGUCUUUGGGCGACACCUGCUGGCCAUUGCGGUACUGCGCCCUCUUCUAGCCCAACAAUUUAAUAAAACUUGCCCAUCUCCUCGGACAUUCACAAGCUGGUUGGGACAUAGGUGUAUGUUCCCACUUCUGCAGAUGAGAAAGGCGAUACAAUCGUCCUAUAUUAAGAGAGGCACAGUGAAUCUCUGAUUCCAGUGCUUUGUCUCCAUCUCCUCUGUACUUCUUGCUCUCAGACUGGACGAGAAUGCAAAUGAGAUACUAAAUCUUCCUGAAGCAGGAACUGCGAUUCGGGGCGUGGCCAGGCAGGGAAUCCAGGACAGACUGGCCUCAGAAGGCGCGUCCUCAUGGCAACAACCCCACCACACAGAAGACCACCCCCACCAGUUGUCCCCCAUCUCUAGAGAAUCCAGACUGAUGGCAGGGGCUUCGAGUCACAUGAAGCUAUUCCAAGAAGGCUCAGAGAGGUCAUUUGGCUAGGCUGUGAGGUGACGCCUGGGGACAGGCGGCCCCGUGAGCCAGUUGCCUCUGUGUUCCCAGGCUCAGCUGUUUGGGCCAGUGGCUAGCCUUUUUUCCAUCUUUUGCAGGACCACGCGGGUAACCUGUCCAGGGUACUUCUCAGUCAGGAGGGUAUAAAUUGUUGUUGAGAGUGAGGAUUCAUCCUUAUAUUUUAGAGAUGCACACUAAAAGAUCUAUGGAUGGAAUUAUAUAAUAUAUGGUAUUUAUUUUUUUAAAAAUCCAC